AGAGUUUGAUCAUGGCUCAGGAUGAACGCUGGCGGCGUGCCUAACACAUGCAAGUCGAGCGAUCUUCUUCGGAAGAGAGCGGCGGACGGGUGAGUAACGCGUGGGUAACCUGCCCCAUACACAUGGAUAACAUACCGAAAGGUAUGCUAAUACAAGAUGAUAUAAGAGAUUCGCAUGGAUUUCUUAUCAAAGCUCCGGCGGUAUGAGAUGGACCCGCGUCUGAUUAGCUAGUUGGUAAGGUAAUGGCUUACCAAGGCGACGAUCAGUAGCCGACCUGAGAGGGUGAUCGGCCACAUUGGAACUGAGACACGGUCCAAACUCCUACGGGAGGCAGCAGUGGGGAAUAUUGCACAAUGGGCGAAAGCCUGAUGCAGCAACGCCGCGUGAGCGAUGAAGGCCUUCGGGUCGUAAAGCUCUGUCCUCAAGGAAGAUAAUGACGGUACUUGAGGAGGAAGCCCCGGCUAACUACGUG
rnacentral:rRNA from 1 species